rnacentral:rRNA from 1 species
AGAGUUUGAUCCUGGCUCAGGAUGAACGCUAGCGACAGGCUUAACACAUGCAAGUCGAGGGGCAGCGGGUAGAUGAGCUUGCUCAUUUAUGCCGGCGACCGGCGCACGGGUGAGUAACACGUAUGCAACCUGCCCGUCUCAGGGGGAUAAUCGUCGGAAACGGCGUCUAAUACCCCGUAUGAAGCCGGACGGCAUCGGCUGGUUUUGAAAGAAUAUCGGAGACGGAUGGGCAUGCGGCGCAUUAGCUAGUUGGCGGGGUAACGGCCCACCAAGGCGACGAUGCGUAGGGGUUCUGAGAGGAAGGUCCCCCACACUGGUACUGAGACACGGACCAGACUCCUACGGGAGGCAGCAGUGAGGAAUAUUGGUCAAUGGGCGAGAGCCUGAACCAGCCAAGUCGCGUGAGGGAGUACUGCCCCUAUGGGUUGUAAACCUCUUUUGUCGGGGAGCAAAAGCCGGACGUGUCCGGCUGUGAGAGUACCCGAAGAAAAAGCAUCGGCUAACUCCGUGCCAGCAGCCGCGGUAAUACGGAGGAUGCGAGCGUUAUCCGGAUUUAUUGGGUUUAAAGGGUGCGCAGGCGGAUUUUUAAGUCAGCGGUCAAAUCGUGGGGCUCAACCCCAUCCAGCCGUUGAAACUGGGGAUCUAGAGUGUGCGAGAGGUAUGCGGAAUGCGUGGUGUAGCGGUGAAAUGCAUAGAUAUCACGCAGAACCCCGAUUGCGAAGGCAGCAUACCGGUGCACAACUGACGCUCAGGCACGAAAGCGUGGGUAUCGAACAAGAUUAGAUACCCUGGUAGUCCACGCAGUAAACG